UACGUAGGGUGCAAGCGUUGUCCGGAAUUAUUGGGCGUAAAGCGCACGUAGGCGGCAUUGCAAGUCGGAUGUGAAAUCCCUCGGCUUAACCAAGGAAGUGCAUCCGAAACUGCAGUGCUUGAGUACUUAAGAGGAUCGCGGAAUUCCCGGUGUAGAGGUGAAAUUCGUAGAUAUUCGGAAGAACACCAGUGGCGAAGGCGACUACCUGGCCUGUUCUUGACGCUGAGGCGCGAAAGCUAGGGGAGCAAACGGG
rnacentral:rRNA from 1 species